GGUUUUUCUUUUUCUUUUUC
rnacentral:miRNA from 1 species